GUAGGUGGCAAGCGUUGUCCGGAAUUAUUGGGCGUAAAGCGCGCGCAGGCGGUCCUUUAAGUCUGAUGUGAAAGCCCACGGCUCAACCGUGGAGGGUCAUUGGAAACUGGGGGACUUGAGUGCAGAAGAGAAGAGUGGAAUUCCACGUGUAGCGGUGAAAUGCGUAGAGAUGUGGAGGAACACCAGUGGCGAAGGCGACUCUUUGGUCUGUAACUGACGCUGAGGCGCGAAAGCGUGGGGAGCAAACAGGAUUAGAUACCCUGGUAGUCCACGCCGUAAACGAUGAGUGCUAAGUGUUAGAGGGUUUCCGCCCUUUAGUGCUGGAGCAAACGCAUUAAGCACUCCGCCUGGGGAGUACGGCCGCAAGGCUG
rnacentral:rRNA from 1 species